UCGCGCCCAGGAGCGGUUUGGCCGACCCUCAGCCAGGCGUGGUUCGGGUUGGAAAUCCAAGGACCGCAAUGUGCGUUCGAAGUGUCGAUGUUCAUGUGUCCUGCAGUUCACA
rnacentral:rRNA from 1 species